rnacentral:rRNA from 1 species
UACAGAGACUGCAAGCGUUAUUCGGAUUCACUGGGCGUAAAGGGUGCGCAGGCGGUCGGGUGUGUCAGAUGUGAAAUCCCGAGGCUCAACCUCGGAACUGCGUCUGAAACUACUCGACUAGAGUACUGGAGAGGGUAACGGAAUUCACGGUGUAGCAGUGAAAUGCGUAGAUAUCGUAAGGAAGCCGGUGGCGAAAGCGAGCCUCUGGACAGUUACUGACGCUGAUGCACGAAGGCCGAGGGAGCAAACGGG